AAUACAUCGGAACAUGUCCUGUAGUGGGGGAUAGCCCGGCGAAAGCCGGAUUAAUACCGCAUACGAUCUGAGGAUGAAAGCGGGGGACCUUCGGGCCUCGCGCUAUAGGGUUGGCCGAUGGCUGAUUAGCUAGUUGGUGGGGUAAAGGCCUACCAAGGCGACGAUCAGUAGCUGGUCUGAGAGGACGACCAGCCACACUGGGACUGAGACACGGCCCAGACUCCUACGGGAGGCAGCAGUGGGGAAUUUUGGACAAUGGGCGAAAGCCUGAUCCAGCAAUGCCGCGUGUGUGAAGAAGGCCUUCGGGUUGUAAAGCACUUUUGUCCGGAAAGAAAUCCUUGGUUCUAAUAUAGCCGGGGGAUGACGGUACCGGAAGAAUAAGCACCGGCUAACUACGUGCCAGCAGCCGCGGUAAUACGUAGGGUGCAAGCGUUAAUCGGAAUUACUGGGCGUAAAGCGUGCGCAGGCGGUUUGCUAAGACCGAUGUGAAAUCCCCGGGCUCAACCUGNGAACUGCAUUGGUGACUGGCAGGCUAGAGUAUGGCAGANGGGGGUAGAAUUCCACGUGUAGCAGUGAAAUGCGUAGAGAUGUGGAGGAAUACCNAUGGCGAA
rnacentral:rRNA from 1 species